rnacentral:misc_RNA from 1 species
GGUUGGAUAUGGGGCCAUUGAGAUUGUUUUGAGAAAGGUCGAUGAAUAGCAAGUUUUGGCAAUUUCCAAGGCUAGAAGGAAUGGUACCUUGCAGUUUGUUAUGCAAAUGAAGUAGGGUCAAUAACGAUAAGUUUCCCAAGGAUGAAGGAAUCUUUCCGGAUAGUCUAUUGUGGCCAAGAAACAUUUGUUGCAAUUUUUGAAGCUUACCAAAUUCCAUGGGAAUAGUGCCCGUGAUUUGAGUCUCUUCUAUACCCAUCACCGA